CAGGGAGACAACACAAUGAUUUUGAUGCCUGAGUGCUUUUAUUCUUAGGCCGAAAUCCUGUCACCUUAGGUCGAUCGGUACCUCAGCUUUGAAGUCAAGGAUCAGCAGCAAUGUUGAUUGCUUGAUGGAGAUUUUCAGUUCCUAAACUUUGUCUAGGUCACACCCCAAAAGGGAUGAGACUCCUGGGCCAUUAGCUCAGGUGGUUAGAGCGCACCCCUGAUAAGGGUGAGGUCCCUGGUUCAAGUCCAGGAUGGCCCAUUCGGUGUUGGGGGUUUAGCUCAGUUGGUAGAGCGCCUGCUUUGCAAGCAGGAUGUCAGGAGUUCGAGUCUCCUAACCUCCACUGACCGAACUUGAUUCCCAUCUCCAAUUUUUUGGAGUUGAGCUCGAUUGGAGUGUGAUUUAGAUGUGUCCGCUGGAUGACCCCAGCUUCCUGUCAUUCCAAGUUUUAGGUUGAUGCCUUGAAUUUGGUUGAUAAGAUGCUGGGCUCGGAUCAAAUGAUCAAGCAAUUGAUGAUUUGAUUUGAAGUUCUAGCAGAACCUUGACAACUGCAUAGGUGAGUCUGGAAAAAACAAAGCAUCUUACAGAUGCAUUGUUUUGAAUCUGAUCUUCUGAAAGGGAGAUUGGAUCUAGAACAAUGAAAAUUCUUUUGAGCAAGAGCCGAGACUCUUGAGCGUUCUUUGAUUGGUGUCGAGCCAAUCAGAGUUUGAUCUUGUUUUUAGCAAUAAAAACUUGAGAAUCUGCUUUCAACGGCGGUAAGCGUUCAGGAGGUUAAUU
rnacentral:tRNA from 2 species